GUAAAAUUAGUUAAAUUAUAAUAUUAAAAUGUCAUUUUAAAGUUACUAGUGUAGUAUUUUAUU
rnacentral:tRNA from 1 species